UACGAAGGGGGCUAGCGUUGCUCGGAAUCACUGGGCGUAAAGGGUGCGUAGGCGGGUCUUUAAGUCAGGGGUGAAAUCCUGGAGCUCAACUCCAGAACUGCCUUUGAUACUGAAGAUCUUGAGUUCGGGAGAGGUGAGUGGAACUGCGAGUGUAGAGGUGAAAUUCGUAGAUAUUCGCAAGAACACCAGUGGCGAAGGCGGUGAUCUGGGCCAGUACUGACGCUCAAGAGCGAAAGCGUGGGUAGCGAACAGG
rnacentral:rRNA from 1 species